rnacentral:rRNA from 1 species
GACGAACGCUGGCGGCGUGCUUAACACAUGCAAGUCGAACGGAAAGGCCCUGCUUUUGUGGGGUGCUCGAGUGGCGAACGGGUGAGUAACACGUGAGUAACCUGCCCUUGACUUUGGGAUAACUUCAGGAAACUGGGGCUAAUACCGGAUAGGAGCUCCUGCUGCAUGGUGGGGGUUGGAAAGUUUCGGCGGUUGGGGAUGGACUCGCGGCUUAUCAGCUUGUUGGUGGGGUAGUGGCUUACCAAGGCUUUGACGGGUAGCCGGCCUGAGAGGGUGACCGGCCACCUUGGGACCGGGGUACCGGCCCGGCUCCUCAGGGGGGGAGGAGGGGGGAAUUUUGCCCAAUGGGGGGAAGCCUUAUGCAGGAACGCCGGGGGGCGGAUGGCGGCCUUCGGGUUGUAAACCCGUUUCGGCCUGGGCGAAGGCUGAGUGACGGUAAUGGGUAAAGAAGCACCGGCUAACUACGUG